ensembl:lncRNA
GGGGGUGAUGGUGUAUGUGUGGUGGGGGGUGAUGUGUAUGUGUGGUGGGGGGAGUAUGUUUGUGUGGUGGGGGUGAUGGUGUGUGUGUGGUGGGGGGUGAUGGUGGUGAUGGGGUGAUGGUGGUGGUGGUGAUGGGGUGAUAAGGUGAUGGUGGUGAUAAUGUGAUGGUGGUGAUGGGGUGAUGGUGGUGAUAAGGUGAUGGUGGUGAUGGGGUGAUGGUGGUGAUGGUGGUGAUGGUGGUGAUAAGGUGAUGGUGGUGAUAAGGUGAUGGUGGUGAUGGUGGUGAUGGUGGUGAUAAGGUGAUGGUGGUGAUAAGGUGAUGGUGGUGAUAAGGUGAUGGUGGUGAUGGGGUGAUGGUGGUGAUGGUGGUGAUAAUGUGAUGGUGAUAAU